GAUGAACGCUAGCGACAGGCUUAACACAUGCAAGUCGAGGGGCAGCACGGGUAGCAAUACCGGGUGGCGACCGGCGCACGGGUGAGUAACGCGUAUGCAACUUGCCUAUCAGAGGGGGAUAACCCGGCGAAAGUCGGACUAAUACCGCAUGAAGCAGGGAUCCCGCAUGGGAAUAUUUGCUAAAGAUUCAUCGCUGAUAGAUAGGCAUGCGUUCCAUUAGGCAGUUGGCGGGGUAACGGCCCACCAAACCGACGAUGGAUAGGGGUUCUGAGAGGAAGGUCCCCCACAUUGGUACUGAGACACGGACCAAACUCCUACGGGAGGCAGCAGUGAGGAAUAUUGGUCAAUGGCCGAGAGGCUGAACCAGCCAAGUCGCGUGAGGGAUGAAGGUUCUAUGGAUCGUAAACCUCUUUUAUAAGGGAAUAAAGUGCGGGACGUGUCCCGUUUUGUAUGUACCUUAUGAAUAAGGAUCGGCUAACUCCGUGCCAGCAGCCGCGGUAAUACGGAGGAUCCGAGCGUUAUCCGGAUUUAUUGGGUUUAAAGGGUGCGUAGGCGGCCUUUUAAGUCAGCGGUGAAAGUCUGUGGCUCAACCAUAGAAUUGCCGUUGAAACUGGGGGGCUUGAGUAUGUUUGAGGCAGGCGGAAUGCGUGGUGUAGCGGUGAAAUGCAUAGAUAUCACGCAGAACCCCGAUUGCGAAGGCAGCCUGCCAAGCCAUGACUGACGCUGAUGCACGAAAGCGUGGGGAUCAAACAGGAUUAGAUACCCUGGUAGUCCACGCAGUAAACGAUGAUCACUAGCUGUUUGCGAUACACUGUAAGCGGCACAGCGAAAGCGUUAAGUGAUCCACCUGGGGAGUACGCCGGCAACGGUGAAACUCAAAGGAAUUGACGGGGGCCCGCACAAGCGGAGGAACAUGUGGUUUAAUUCGAUGAUACGCGAGGAACCUUACCCGGGUUUGAACGCAUUCGGACCGAGGUGGAAACACCUUUUCUAGCAAUAGCCGUUUGCGAGGUGCUGCAUGGUUGUCGUCAGCUCGUGCCGUGAGGUGUCGGCUUAAGUGCCAUAACGAGCGCAACCCUUGCCACUAGUUACUAACAGGUAAAGCUGAGGACUCUGGUGGGACUGCCAGCGUAAGCUGCGAGGAAGGCGGGGAUGACGUCAAAUCAGCACGGCCCUUACAUCCGGGGCGACACACGUGUUACAAUGGCGUGGACAAAGGGAAGCCACCUGGCGACAGGGAGCGAAUCCCCAAACCACGUCUCAGUUCGGAUCGGAGUCUGCAACCCGACUCCGUGAAGCUGGAUUCGCUAGUAAUCGCGCAUCAGCCAUGGCGCGGUGAAUACGUUCCCGGGCCU
rnacentral:rRNA from 1 species